AUUGAACGCUGGCGGCGUGGCUAAAGCAUGCAAGUCGUACGGGGCCGCAAGGCCCAGUGGCGGACGGGUUAGUAAUACGAUCGAACGUACCUCGAGGUGGGGGAUAGCGGCGGGAAACUGCCGGUAAUACCCCAUGAUCUCUCCGGAGCAAAGGGUAACCGCCUUGAGAUCGGCGAUCGUCCUAUCAGCUAGUUGGCGGGGUAACGGCCCACCAAGGCUUUGACGGGUAGCAGGUGUGAGAGCACGACCUGCAACAUCGGGACUGAGACACUGCCCGGACUCCUACGGGAGGCUGCAGCGACGAAUCUUCCGCAAUGGGCGCAAGCCUGACGGAGCGACGCCGCGUGUGGGAUGAAGCGCCUCUGGCGUGUAAACCACUGUCAGGAGACAGAACCAAUGAUUGUCUCCAGAGGAAGGGGCGACUAACUCUGUGCCAGCAGUCGCGGUAAGACAGAGGCCCCGAGCGUUAAUCGGAAUCACUGGCUUAAAGGGUGCGGU
rnacentral:rRNA from 1 species